rnacentral:rRNA from 1 species
UACGAAGGGGGCUAGCGUUGUUCGGAAUUACUGGGCGUAAAGCGCACGUAGGCGGAUACUUAAGUUAGGGGUGAAAUCCCAGAGCUCAACUCUGGAACUGCCUUUAAUACUGGGUAUCUCGAGUCCGGAAGAGGUGAGUGGAAUUCCGAGUGUAGAGGUGAAAUUCGUAGAUAUUCGGAGGAACACCAGUGGCGAAGGCGGCUCACUGGUCCGGAACUGACGCUGAGGUGCGAAAGCGUGGGGAGCAAACAGG